AUUUAGUUAUGAAGAAUUGUGAUUGAGAGAAAUAUUGUAGAAAACUGUGAUUAGAAUAUUGUAGAAUAUGACUUUGGACUGACCAUUUUGGAGAAAAUCUGUGAUCUUGAGAAUUGAGAUUAUCGAACUGUUUUGUGUUAAGUGAAGAUAUUGAAUUUUGUGUGAUGAAUUGAGAAACUGAAUAUAAUAAGUAAGCUGGAGAUUAAUAAUUGAAUAUAUAUAAAUUACAAAGAGAAUAAGUGGGACAUGAAUCAAUAAGAAUAUGGAAGUAUUGUUGAAUUGAUAGUCAUAGAAUGGAUUAUGUGUUGAAUUAAGA
rnacentral:lncRNA from 1 species